ACGGGAGGCAGCAGUCGGGGAUAUUGCGCAAUGGAGGGAACUCUGACGCAGUGACGCCGCGUAUAGGAAGAAGGUUUUAGGAUUGUAAACUAUCUUAGACAGGGAAGAAAAAAGACAGUACCUGUAGAAUAAGCUCCGGCUAACUACGUGCCAGCAGCCGCGGUAAUACGUAGGGAGCAAGCGUUAUCCGGAAUUAUUGGGUGUAAAGGGUGCGUAGACGGGAAUCUAAGUUGGUUGUGAAAACCCUUGGCUUAACUGAGGAACUGCAACCAAAACUGGAUUUCUUGAGUGCAGGAGAGGAAAGCGGAAUUCCUAGUGUAGCGGUGAAAUGCGUAGAUAUUAGGAGGAACACCAGUGGCGAAGGCGGCUUUCUGGACUGUAACUGACGUUGAGGCACGAAAGUGUGGGGAGCAAACAGGAUUAGAUACCCUGGUA
rnacentral:rRNA from 1 species